rnacentral:lncRNA from 1 species
GUAUCGCAGAAGUGAUCCUGAACUCUUCUCAUCGCGUCUGAUCAUGUGACCCACAAUUCUGAUUUGUCCCAGUACUGCUGGUGUGAAUGCUGACCACUGAGGGUAGUAUCUGCCGGGUAAUGCUAGUUUUCCACUUUAUAAUUUAGUAUUUUGAGGGGGAAAAACUUUGAGACUAUGUAAAUACCUCUGUUCCUCAUCAAACUUUUGAUGUAUUCAUUUACUAUUAUCAAUAUGGAUUCUUGAUUUAUUCAAUGAGUUAUAAUUUGUUAAUAUCAUUUCUAAAAAUUUAUUUUUCUUUUAGACGUUCUGUUUUGAGAAUUUCAGGCUUAUUGAAAAGUUGUAAGAAUAACAAAGAAUUUCUGGAUACCGUUCCCAAAAUGUUAACAUUUACUCUAUCUGUUUUAUCCUUUCUCCCUUCUCCUCUCUUUCCAGAUAAAUAUAAAUGUUGGUAUAUAAUAUAGAUUUUUUUUUCCUGAACUGUUUGUAAGUUUCAGACAUCAUGCCUCUACUCCUAAAUACUUUAGUGUAUAUUUCCUGAGAAAAGGAAUUAUCUAACAUAACUGUAAUGUAGUUAUCAAAACCAGGAAAUUGGCUAAAACUGCUUUGAUAUUAAUAUGUAAUCUGUGGACCUUAUUCAGAUUUUGCCAGUUGUCUCAAUAGAGUCAUGCACUGCAUAAUGACAUUUCAGUCAAUGACGGACUGCACGUAUGACAGUGGGUACUAAAUCCCAUAGGAUUAGUACCAUCUAGCCUAGGUGCGUAGUGCGCCAUACCAUCUAGGUUUGUGUAAAGAUGCUCUAUGAUGUUUGCACAACAAAAUCACCUGGCAAUGCAUUUCUCAGAACAUAUCUGCUUCUUUAAGUGACACAUGACUGCAAUAUCCUUUAUAGGCAAAGAAAAUCCAAGAUGCUGCAUUGUGUCCAAUUUUCCUGUUUCUUCAGUCUCCUUUAAUCCAGGACAGUUCUUUAGUCUUUGAUUUUCAUGACAUUUACAUUUUGAAGACUACGGGUCAGUUAUUUUGUAGACUUUCUCUCAGGUUGAGUUUGUGUGAUGUUUCCUAAGUAGAUCCAGUUUAUGACUUUUGGGCAGGAAUGUCACAUAAGUGAUGCUGAGUUCUUCCCAGUGCAUCAAAUCUGGAGGCACGUGCUUGGUUCCAUUACUGGUGAUGUUGACUUCAAUCAUUUGGUUAAGAAGUGUCUGCCAGGUUUGUCCAUGGUAAAAUUACUAUUUACCCUUUUAUUUCAUAAAUAUCUUGUGUCGAGAUACUAUCAGACUUUGGAAAUAUUUGGUUACUCCUCAAAAUUCCACCCACUAGAUUUCACAUCCAUUGAUGCUUCUCGCUUGAAUCAAUUAUUAUUAUGAUGUUUGCCAAUGAUGGUUUUUCUUGUGUGUCAUUGCUUCUACAUUCAUAAAUAAAAUGAAA